rnacentral:rRNA from 1 species
UUCGCAAUGCCCGAAAGGGUGACGAAGCGACGCCGCGUGGGUGAAGAAGGCCUUCGGGUUGUAAAGCCCUGUCAGGAGUUAUGAAAUGUAGGUGCGAUAAUACCGUGCCUAUUUGACAAAGGCUCCAAAGGAAGCCACGGCUAACUCUGUGCCAGCAGCCGCGGUGAUACAGAGGUGGCAAGCGUUGUUCGGAAUUAUUGGGCGUAAAGAGCACGUAGGUGGAUUUGUAAGUCAGGUGUGAAAGCCUUCUGUUCAACGGAAGAAUUGCAUCUGAAACUGCAAACCUUGAGUGUAGGAGGGGAGAAUGGAGCUUCUGGUGGAGCGGUGAAAUGCGUAGAUAUCAGAAGGAACGCCGGCGGCGAAAGCGAUUCUCUGGCCUAUUACUGACACUGAGUGUGCGAAAGCUAGGGGAGCAAACGGGAUUAGAUACCCCGGUAGUCCUAGCCGUAAACGAUGGGCACUAAGUAGAGGGGUUUU